CGCGCACUUGUGGCCCCUUCGCUUUGCUGUUGGUUGAGGCGUUUGGGUGCAGAGGGACCCCCAGGCUGUAGUCAAGGGGUUUGGAGUGUGGGCUAGGGAUGCUAAGGACUGCAGGGCAGUGACUAGCCUGGUCCCCGCCCCCUUGCUGCCUAUCAGGUAGACGCAGCAAGCGGGGAGAACAGGCGGGUACUUCCAAGUGAUCGCGCUACACAGAGCCAGGGUCACCUGCUCCUGGAGGCAUUUCAAAGCGGCAGCGCUGCUUGGCCCAUGGGGUCAGCUGGGGGCUCUUGCUACACUUCAAAGGUGGAGGUGCCCUAUUGACUAAUCGAAUCGUCAAUGCAAAAAUGCAUCGACUAUUCAAUUAGUCAAUGACUUGAUAAUGAACACCGUUAUCGUGGGGGGGGCGGAGCAUAGGGCAAGAGGCUGAGCAGGAGUUUGGGUGUGGGAUGGGGCUGGAAGGCAUUAGGACUUAGUGUGUGGGAAGUACAGUAUUGUAUUUUCUGAACUAAAAAUGGGGACACAUUAAUCUUGCCCCUGGCCCCUUAGGCCCUACCCACCUGACACAGGAAGCCCCACGCUUGGGGGUAGUAUUUCCGGGGUCAAGAUAGGUGACGUGUGAACCCCUCUAAAAACUCCUCCCACCAUCCUCUACCAAUAGGGAUGGUUUUGGGCCCCAUAGGACAGCUCCCCUCCCCCAUGCAACUAUACUGCAAUUGCAUUAACCCAGGCCCCAGACCUAGUGUCCCAUCACUCUGCAGUGCUAAGGGUCCAACCUCGAUUUAAGAAGAGAUGCAGGAUAUGAGACCUAUUACUGUUAGAUGCAGCCCCAUUUGACUCACGGCCUAGGAAUCAUCCAGAACUAUCCCACAAUUAAAUGGGACAACUUCCUUUGUCUUCUUAAUGGAUGAUGCUUCCUGGUUCCAAUUAACUGGUAAUCAGAGGGGUCUGGAGCCGCUCCCCACUUGCUACUCCAGCCCCACAGAGGGCCCUAAAGAGUUGCUCUAGUCAAGAACAGGCCCUGUCUGGGGAUUCUGAGGGCCCGCAGGCAGGGACUGCCUGUGGUGUCCAGAGCAGCUUCUCUCCAAGUAGAGUCCAGCCUUCUGUGGACAGAGGCUAUGCUGGAGGGGGCUGGGAGCUAACAUUAAUCAGUAAACUGAUUAAUGGGAAUUCACAUCCCUCAUGAAAUGUACUGCAACUGCAUUUUUUGAAGUUACUGCAAAACUAUCACGUGUUCUCUGUUUCCACAAGCCAGAAUGACAAUACUGAACUAACCAUGACAAUUACAGGGGAGAGAAGACCUUGUCACUAACCCUUACCACCACAGCUUGAAAGCUCUGACAUGAAAAAGGUGGCUUACUGGAACAUCGAAGGUGACAUGGUAUACAAGAUUGCAGCAAGCUGUCAAAAUACUCAUUUUUGAAGCAAUGUUGAGCCAUCAGGUCAGUAAUUCGUGAACUAGGAAG